UUGAACGCUGGCGGCAUGCUUUACACAUGCAAGUCGAACGGCAGCGGGGGCUUCGGCCUGCCGGCGAGUGGCGAACGGGUGAGUAAUGCAUCGGAACGUACCCAGUUGUGGGGGAUAGCCCGGCGAAAGCCGGAUUAAUACCGCAUAAGUCCUGAGGGAGAAAGCGGGGGACCGUAAGGCCUCGCGCGAUUGGAGCGGCCGAUGUUCGAUUAGCUAGUUGGUGGGGUAAAGGCCUACCAAGGCGACGAUCGAUAGCUGGUCUGAGAGGACGACCAGCCACACUGGAACUGAGACACGGUCCAGACUCCUACGGGAGGCAGCAGUGGGGAAUUUUGGACAAUGGGCGAAAGCCUGAUCCAGCCAUACCGCGUGAGUGAAGAAGGCCUUCGGGUUGUAAAGCUCUUUCAGCCGGAAAGAAAUUGCUUCUAUUAAUACUAGGAGUAGAUGACGGUACCGGAAGAAGAAGCACCGGCUAACUACGU
rnacentral:rRNA from 1 species